rnacentral:rRNA from 1 species
ACUCCUACGGGAGGCAGCAGUGGGGGAUAUUGCACAAUGGGGGGAACCCUGAUGCAGCGACGCCUCGUGAACGAAGAAAUAUUUCGGUAUGUAAAGUUCUAUCAGCAGGGAAGAAAAUGACAAUACCUGACCAAGAAGCCCCGGCUAACUACGUGCCAGCAGCCGCGGUAAUACGUAGGGGGCGAGCGUUAUCCGGAUUUACUGGGUGUAAAGGGAGCGCAGACGGCAGUGCAAGUCUGGAGUGAAAGCCCGGGGCCCAACCCCGGAACUGCUCUGGAAACUGUGCGGCUAGAGUACU